UAUCUCUUAUGCUACUAAGUUUUGGUUUUGUUUGCUCAAGUUAGACAAUCUUGUUUGAUUUUCAUGUGUUUAUUUUGUUAUAGAUCAAAUAUUUAAGAUAAAGUAUAAAUUAAAUUAGGACUAUGUUAUUUUUUGACCAUAGAAUGGAUAAGAGACUUCAUGUAUAUCACCGCAGUUGUAGGGCUGUUCCUUACAAAUGGAAUAAUUGUGAACGGUUGGAAGUUGUGGCGGUGGCAGUCGAGAGUGUGUUUUUUGAAGGAAAAAAGUGGUUAUUAUUAAUAAUUUAAAGUGUUUGUGUCUCAAACUAGUAAAAAAAUUAUUGUGAUUCUUGACAAAUCAUCAUCCGUCGUUUUCCAUUGCUCCUUUUAUUUCACAGAAUUUGUCACAUUUUCUUCAAACAGUAUCCUAUCUCUAAUGAACCUUGCUUGAAGCUCGUUGCUAUUCAACCCUUUAACCAAACUAUUAGCCUUAAUUGGCUUCAAACACUCAAUCCCAUUAACAUCAGAAACUAUAACCUUUGAUGCAUAUCCUUUGUUUUCUUAAAUCUCUCUUAAAAAUGAUUUUGUGCUUAGAGAUUUUUUUGAACAGCCCUACUAAACUCUUUGGCCUGUAAGAGAGAAAGAGACCAACUCUCUUUUAAGAAAUAUUUCUUCAAACCAAGGAACAGAAUUCAAUCUCACUCAAGCAAUUAUUUCAAUGAUGUAUACCUUCACUUUAAUGGCGGUGUUUGUGCUUCUGAGUUUAUCAGAUGAUUUAGCGUUGGAAUCUCUGCGUCAUUUCAAAUGGAUCGGGUCUCUGACGGCGAGUUUGACUCAGAUCGGAAGGGCUCGGACUUCUUCCUACUGAAGAGACGAAAACGAAGACCAUGGAUAUAUACCAAAGUGCAAAUAUGGUUGUGAAUGGAAGCACUGUUAAUUUGGGUUUGUGGGAUACUGCAGAACAAGAAGAUUAUAACAGAUUAAGACCUUUGAGUUAUCUGGUGCCGACGUUUUCAUUAGCAAGGCAGUUAUGAAAAUGUUUCCAACAAGGCAGCCACCACAGGAUUCCUACUAGCCCAGAUCUCACGCACCAGAAUUAAAGGAGCAUAUUAUGAACAUUCAGCCUGCCCACCCACAAUAAAAAAACCAGGGUUUUAGAGAUUGAAGAUUAGUGUUGUCAUUUGGGAGAAAACAAGAAUAGAAGAGAAGGAGACUAUGGCUUGAAGAAGAUAUUCCAAGCUUGGAGAUUUCAUCCAUGGUGUCAAGUUUAUGAUGCAAUUGGAGACCCAUAGAGUUGCUUCCAUUGAUAAGGUAAGGGUGGGGUUCUCUUCCUAUAAUGGGGCUCAUGAACAAUUGUAUGUGGGAAAUUGGGUGUGUAGAUUUAUUGCAUUUGCUUGUGCCAAUUGUUGCUGGAAAUUAUGAAUUUAUACCAUGAGUAAAUGAUUUUGAGUUGCUAUGUUGAAUCCGUUACUAUUAUUGUUUCCAAUUUGCUGUGCGUUUGAAAUAGAAUUUAAUUUGUAAAGAAAUUGAUUACUCCAUGCGUUCUGGAAAUGACUGCAAAACAAUAUAGUUGGAACAGAAUACCUUGACAGUCGGCGUGGCCAUGACGUGCGGCAUCAGCUGUGAAGGGUUGCCGAGAGGCACUCAUUACCUACAUUAUUAUGUUCAUUUGAUGCAGCUUUCUGUGUGUGCUAUAAAUUAUUUCUUUACUGUUCCACGUUGAUUGCCGUGGUACAUACAUAAUGGUUUAGUAUCAUGAGAAUGGAACAUGUUUUAAAUGAAAUAAUUUGAAAACAGUAAAAACAAUAUAAAUGAACAUUAUA